rnacentral:lncRNA from 1 species
CCUUCCGUCAGUCCCGGGGCUUACCCGGGUGCAGAGAGCGAGGAGCACCAAGGCGAGGCUGAUGGGACCUGCGACGGAGGCGAGCAUGAUCGGGACGCGGUAGGAGGAUGCACAGCAGGGUGCAGAGGCGACGAGAGGCGCGGCCGGAGCCUGGAUUCGGACAGGGGCGGACAUUCCUCAAAGAGAAGAGGCCCGAGACUUCCUAUUUAAAGAAAGAACAUGGCAAGUUAUUAUAUUAUCAUCCUGCACUACUGUUAAAAAGUGUCAGCAUUAUAAUACUAGGUUUUACUAUAAAAUUCACACCUCAAAUUCUCAGUAACUCCAUAGUUAGUUCCAAAUGGAUGGUUUUUAAUAAUUAACUAAGAGGAACUAGAUUAUUGAAAUAUACAACCAACUCAUGAAAAUCUCAGAAUAUUCUGUGCAUUUGAAAUGUAGCUUGGAGCUUUAUAAUCAAAACACUUGAAAGGGUGAAGACAGAAGACUACCUCUCCACAAAUCAUACAGACAAGAUGGGACAGAAGGAGAAGGGUGUGUGACAGAGGACAUUCAAGACAUUCACAGACUGGAAAGUAUGUUUUUAUUAUGAUGCAGGUCAUUAAGUGCCAGGAAAUCCAGAAGGAAAGACUGACACACCAGCCUUGGUUCAUGCCAUGGGACCUGACUUCUUACAUCCUUAUAAAUGACUCAGCAAAUGUUUGUGUGCACCUGGGCAGUAAAACGAACGUAGCAGCUUCUUACAACUUCAGCCAACUCUGCCCUAGCCCAACCUUUUUGAUUGACAGCAUGGGAGAAACAAAUCCUUGAAAUUGUAUGGAGAAGGAAGUUGUUGUUUUGACUUCUAAACAGGGGUUUACUUAGUGACUUCAAGAGAACAUUCUACCCCAACCAACCCUCCCAGUAGAUGAGGAAUUCACUAAGGUGGCCACUUACGAUGAACCAAUGCCCUCAACCAGGACUUAAGAUGACUUAAGAUGAUGGCUGGGUCCCAGAGGCUCACGUCAGGGUGUGCUCUGCUGUGACAUCAGCUUUAUCCCACGUUGGGAAGGUCCAUGCCCAACACUGUGCUGUCUUGUUUAGGCUGAGAAUGGGACCAACCACAGACAUCGUAAAAAGCUCUUAAAAAACCAUUCACUGAUAAGCUGCCAUUAUGAAUAAAUAUGAAAGAGGGCAGCAGGCUACCCACACCAAAGUGAUACCCACGGUAACCAUGGGCUUGUCGUGAGUGGCCCUCAAUAGACAAGCCUUAGGGUGUCGUCAUAGAUGCUACCAAGUGUAUUUUAUGAGCCUGUCUUAGUUGAAAAUGCACUUUCCUUAAACUAGGUACCCUGAAUGCAGAGUUGACUUCGAAGCUUCUGCCCGCUCCCCUUUGGGUGUGGAGUGAUUGGCUUUGAACCAUGUCUCGGUUCAUGUUGUUAAUGGAAUGAUCUCUGCGGUAACUGUGUGUGGCAAGGUUUGAGCGUGUCGUCUAGGAAUGGCAGGCUCAUAACAAGGGAAUUUUCUCAGUGACUCAUGCCUGUGUGAGGAAGUUAACAACUGUAGCAUUAAAUUUCAUCUAAUCGUGGACUUACUAAUGUCUGAACAUAUCCUACCAUGAAGGUCUUUCUUCCAUGUAAACAAUAAAUGCUAAUUUUGCC